UGCUUGCUUUGAUAGCAAUAUACUAAAAUCGGACUGACACAGAGAGGAUAACAUUGCUUCUGAACAAAGAUAACAUGCAAAUCCAUGAAGGAUUGAUGUAAAACUAUU
ensembl:snRNA U6 U6 spliceosomal RNA